GACGAACGCUGACGGUGUGCUUUAGACAUGCAAGUCGAACGAGAAAGCCCUUCGGGGUUAGUAAAGUGGCGAACGGGUGAGUAACACGUGGGCAAUCUGCCCCUCGCAGGGGGACAAUCGGAGGAAACUCCGGCUAAUACCCCGUACGCUUGUCGGACCGCAUGGUACUGACAAGGAAAGGUAGCUUCGGCCAUCCGGCGAGGGAUGAGCCCGCGGUACAUUAGCUAGUUGGUGGGGUAACGGCCUACCAAGGCGACGAUGUAUAGCUGGUCUGAGAGGAUGAUCAGCCACACUGGGACUGAGACACGGCCCAGACUCCUACGGGAGGCAGCAGUCGGGAAUCUUGCACAAUGGGCGAAAGCCUGAUGCAGCAACACCGUGUGAGCGAUGAAGGCCCUAGGGUCGUAAAGCUCUGUUGUUAGGGACGAAGGGCGAAGGGUUAAUAGCCCCUAGCUUGACGGUACCUUUCGAGGAAGCCCCGGCUAACUACGUGCCAGCAGCCGCCGUAAGAC
rnacentral:rRNA from 1 species